AGAGUUUCUUUCUGGCUCAGGAUGAACGCCGGCGGUGUGCCUAAUACAUGCAAGUCGUACGCACUGGCCCAACUGAUUGAUGGUGCUUGCACCUGAUUGACGUUGGAUCACCAGUGAGUGGCGGACGGGUGAGUAACACGUAGGUAACCUGCCCCGGAGCGGGGGAUAACAUUUGGAAACAGAUGCUAAUACCGCAUAACAACAAAAGCCACAUGGCUUUUGUUUGAAAGAUGGCUUUGGCUAUCACUCCGGGAUGGACCUGCGGUGCAUUAGCUAGUUGGUAAGGUAACGGCUUACCAAGGCGAUGAUGCAUAGCCGAGUUGAGAGACUGAUCGGCCACAAUGGAACUGAGACACGGUCCAUACUCCUACGGGAGGCAGCAGUAGGGAAUCUUCCACAAUGGGCGCAAGCCUGAUGGAGCAACACCGCGUGAGUGAAGAAGGGUUUCGGCUCGUAAAGCUCUGUUGUUGGAGAAGAACGUGCGUGAGAGUAACUGUUCACGCAGUGACGGUAUCCAACCAGAAAGUCACGGCUAACUACGUGCCAGCAGCCGCGGUAAUACGUAGGUGGCAAGCGUUAUCCGGAUUUAUUGGGCGUAAAGCGAGCGCAGGCGGUUGCUUAGGUCUGAUGUGAAAGCCUUCGGCUUAACCGAAGAAGUGCAUCGGAAACCGGGCGACUUGAGUGCAGAAGAGGACAGUGGAACUCCAUGUGUAGCGGUGGAAUGCGUAGAUAUAUGGAAGAACACCAGUGGCGAAGGCGGCUGUCUGGUCUGCAACUGACGCUGAGGCUCGAAAGCAUGGGUAGCGAACAGGAUUAGAUACCCUGGUAGUCCAUGCCGUAAACGAUGA
rnacentral:rRNA from 1 species